rnacentral:rRNA from 1 species
ACACAUGCAAGUCGAACGAGACUUCGGGUCUAGUGGCGCACGGGUGCGUAACGCGUGGGAAUCUGCCCUUAGGUUCGGAAUAACUCAGGGAAACUUGAGCUAAUACCGGAUGAUGUCUUCGGACCAAAGAUUUAUCGCCUAGGGAUGAGCCCGCGUAGGAUUAGCUUGUUGGUGAGGUAAAGGCUCACCAAGGCGACGAUCCUUAGCUGGUCUGAGAGGAUGAUCAGCCACACUGGGACUGAGACACGGCCCAGACUCCUACGGGAGGCAGCAGUGGGGGAUAUUGGACAAUGGGCGAAAGCCUGAUCCAGCAAUGCCGCGUGAGUGAUGAAGGCCCUAGGGUUGUAAAGCUCUUUUACCCGGGAUGAUAAUGACAGUACCGGGAGAAUAAGCCCCGGCUAACUCCGUGCCAGCAGCCGCGGUAAUACGGAGGGGGCUAGCGUUGUUCGGAAUUACUGGGCGUAAAGCGUACGUAGGCGGUGAUUCAAGUCAGAGGUGAAAGCCCGGAGCUCAACUCCGGAACUGCCUUUGAAACUAGAUCGCUUGAACGUCGGAGAGGUGAGUGGAAUUCCGAGUGUAGAGGUGAAAUUCGUAGAUAUUCGGAAGAACACCAGUGGCGAAGGCGGCUCACUGGACGACUGUUGAC